rnacentral:ncRNA from 1 species
AAACUCUAAGAGAAAUCAGUUAGUUAACGAAGUGAAUUGAAAUAUCUUAGUAACUUCAGGAAAGAAAUCAAAAGAGAUUCUAUUAUUAACGUGAGCUAGAUAGAACAGUCUAUAUAUUAAGUAAAACGGUCAAGAAACUGUUGAAUUUAAUGGGGAACCUUCCUCAAAGGCUAAAUAUAAUACAUGAGCGAUAGCGAAAGUAUCAUGAGAGAAAGAUUAGAAAUAGUAGUUUAUAAGCAGUUCAAGCGAAAGUGAGAACGUACCUUUUGCAUAAUGGGUCACAAGUUAACAUUAGAUGCGAGUGAAGCGCAGAUAAACCAAUCGUUAAAAUAACGAGAAAUUAUAGUGUCUAAAGUUAGACCCGAAGCCGGUGAUUUUACCACAAUCAGGAUUAUAAAAGUCCGAACGGUUAUCGUUGCAAGAUAUCCGAAGAAUUGUGGUAGGUAGUGAAAGACAAAACUGACCGGGAUAGCUGGUUUCUGCGAAACCUAUAACAGUAGGCAAUUGAGUCACAUCUUAGCAGGUACAGAAUUUAAUCUCAGACAAGAUGUAUAAAUUUUAAGGUGUAAGCUUUAAAAUUACAUUAUAUUUUGUAUAUAUCGGGGGAUCGUGAAGAUUUAUCGGUGAGUAUGUAGACUCGGAAUGGCAAAGAUGAAUCUUGAAUUAUCGGACAUAGAAUGAUAAGGUUGUAUGUCAAAGGGAAACAGCCCAGAACAAGAGUUAAGGUUCCAAAAUUAUUAGUUAAGUGAAAUUAAGAAGUUUUUAUUAAGUCGAUAAGGAGAUUGGCUUAGAAGCAGCCGUAAUUGAAGAUCUCGUAACAGAGCACUUAUUAAGUUUUAAAGCAUCGAAAUUUAACGGAUCUAAACAAUAUACCGACACCUUGUCCAAUAUUCGCAAAAACAUAAAGUUGUUUGCGAAUUAAGGGGUAGCAGAACGUUGGAUUAAAUUAAGAUAUUAGAUUAUAAAAAAUAUAUACAAAUAUUCAAGUGAUAAUGGUGACAUGAGUAACAAAUAGAAGGUCAAUACCAUUUAUUCUUUAUUUUCGAAUAAGGAAGGUGGUUUAGAUACCUCCGCCUAAAGCUUAUGGUUUGGUAUAAAGUAACGGCCUCUAAGUUUAUAACCUAAAGGUUUGGACGAUGAGAAAUCUUAUUUACUAAAACAACAUUUCUAAGUGAGAAGUGUGCUGGAAAACUGUAAAUAUAUAUUUAUUUAAUAAAUAUGAAAUAACCGUACCUAGAAACUGCUACAAGUAAGCUAGUAGAGAUACGAAGGCGUUAAUGGGCUAACAAUCAUAAAGGACUCGGCAAACUAACUACCGUAACUUCGGGACAAGGAGAGCUCAUUAGUCUUGAUUAAUAUCAGGUAAAAAGGAAGAAGCAUAAAUAGUGUUGUACGACUGUUUAAUUAAAACACAGCACUUGCUAAAAGAUGAAAAAUCUAAGUAUUGAGUGUGAUGUCUGCCCGAUCCCGGCUGGUAACAGAUACUACUGAAUUGUUAAAAGAUUUGGUGUUGACGGAACCGAAUCAAUGGCGGCCUUAACGUGAGGGUCCUAAGGUAGCGAAAUGCCUUGGCGUUAAAUGCGGUCUUGCAUGAAUGAUGUAACGAUACACAGCUGUCUCUAUGAUUGACCCAGUGAAAUUA